rnacentral:rRNA from 1 species
AUUGAACGCUGGCGGAAUGCUUUACACAUGCAAGUCGAACGGCAGCACGGGGGCAACCCUGGUGGCGAGUGGCGAACGGGUGAGUAAUACAUCGGAACGUGCCCAGUCGUGGGGGAUAACGUAGCGAAAGUUACGCUAAUACCGCAUACGAUCUACGGAUGAAAGCGGGGGACCGUAAGGCCUCGCGCGAUUGGAGCGGCCGGUGUCAGAUUAGGUAGUUGGUGAGGUAAAGGCUCACCAAGCCGACGAUCUGUAGCGGGUCUGAGAGGCCGACCAGCCACACUGGGACGGAGACACGGCCCAGACUCCUACGGGAGGCAGCAGUGGGGAAUUUUGGACAAUGGGCGCAAGCCUGAUCCAGCCAUUCCGCGUGCAGGACGAAGGCCUUCGGGUUGUAAACUGCUUUUGUACGGAACGAAAAGGCUCUGGUUAAUACCUGGGGCUCAUGACGGUACCGUAAGAAUAAGCACCGGCUAACUACGUGCCAGCAGCCGCAGUAA